UACGUAGGGAGCAAGCGUUGUCCGGAAUCAUUGGGCGUAAAGCGCGCGUAGGUGGCCAUGUAAGUCCGCUGUGAAAGUCAAAGGCUCAACCUUUGAAAGCCGGUGGAUACUGCAUGGCUAGAGUACGGAAGAGGCGAGUGGAAUUCCUGGUGUAGCGGUGGAAUGCGCAGAUAUCAGGAGGAACACCAAUAGCGAAGGCAGCUCGCUGGGACGUUACUGACACUGAGGCGCGAAAGCGUGGGGAGCGAACGGGA
rnacentral:rRNA from 1 species